CGGGAAGAGCUCAAAUUUAAAAUCUGGCGUGCCUCUGGUCGUCCGAAUUGUAGUCUGAAGAAGCGUCUUCUGUGUUGGACCGUGUACAAGUCUCUUGGAACAGGACGUCACAGAGGGUGAGAAUCCCGU
rnacentral:rRNA from 1 species